UACAGAGGCCCCAAGCCGUUACUGAGAAUCACUGGGUUUAAAGGGUGCGUAGGUGGCGCGUUAAGUCCGUUGUGAAAUCCCUUGGCUCAACCAAGGAAUGGCUUCGGAUACUGGCGUGCUUGAGGCCGGUAAGGGUCACUGGAACUGACGGUGGAGCGGUGAAAUGCGUAGAUAUCGUCAGGAACGCCAAUGGUGAAGACAGGUGACUGGGCCGGUUCGUGACACUGAGGCACGAAAGCGUGGGGAGCGAACGGG
rnacentral:rRNA from 1 species